GUAAUUAGAUAAGAUUUAUUAUCUGAUGAGUAAUUUAUUGAAUUAUAUGUGUAUUUUUCUGGAUUCAGAUAAAGCAGUAGUGAAAUUUUCUAGAUACAUUAUGCACGAGAAUCAUUUUUUUCUUCUGACACAAUAUUUACUCGCUCAAAUUAAACUUUAUUGGAAUUAGAUUAUACAACUUACUAAUUAUUAAAAACACAUAAAUCGUUUGUUUAUGAUUAUAAAUUUUAAUAGUGUAGUUUAACGAAAUAGGACCUAAUUACUUUUAAAACAAGUGUUGUUUAAUACUAUUGUCCUUUUUAUGUUGACCUGACAGAAAACUUUUUUAUUUGACUCAAAUUUAUUUUAUACCGUUUGUGUUUCAACACAAUGUUUUAUUAAAGUAAGACAUUAUUUUGUUUAAAACAAUCAAAAAACUUGUAGACAAAUUAGACAAGGUUCUUAGCUACCCCAGAUAAUGAUACGGAAUAAUGGAGACUAUAUAUUAGUUAGAGAUAAGAUUUUAGGCAUUACGUCAUUUAUUUCCAUCUAACCAUCGCAGCGUUCGCAUCUUAAACGUUUAAUUUGUGUUGUGAAGAAAUUCGAUUGUUUUACCAAAUUAUAUAUAUUACAAUAUAUAGAAACAACCAGUCUAUAUUAAAAAGUAUAUAGACUUUGAUUUUACUGUGUCAAAUGUGUUAUUAAGUAAUAAUGGAAGAAAAGCAAGAUUAUUGAUUGAGUGAGACCUCGAAGAAAUCAUGAAAGAUUUUGUGAAUAACGCUGUAUAAUAAUAUUAUAAUAGUAAAUUAUUUCCACGUGGAAAAUUAUUUCCUUCCCUGAUCAUGCAAUGAAUUUAUUCAAAUAGAAUAUGCAAGUCAUGGCAACUUUUCUAAAGACAACGCAAUAAAAAAACUACUAAACGAGUUGACAGAUGAUAUUUCUUCAGGCGCUAGAGCUAACAUUGUAAUGCAAUUACUGGCCUACAUAUAUUUUGUCAACAAUAAGUAUCGGAAAGGAAAAACCAGCAUGACGGUGGAAGCUCCUACGCUUAGAAGUUGCUGAAGGAUAACCAUAAACCCUGAAUCUACAUAAGAACUUUCUCUAAGUACGCAUGUGUGCUUAUCUACCCUAGCAAAUUCCCUUUUUUGGUUUAGUAAAAAACUUUUCUAAUGUAGGUGGUAAAUUAGUUCCCUCACGCUAAGAUAUAUACACCAGCACGUUUAUUUUGUAUUUGAUAAAAUAAAAGUAUUUACUACAACAUGUGAUUUUUCUAAAUUAGUACUUCUUCCUAUGUACCUUAGUGAAUUACCUCCUCAUUUUUUGAUAAAACGUUUGUUUAUCACACACAACUAUAUUUUUCAUCUGUU